rnacentral:tRNA from 2 species
GCCGAAGUGGUGGAAUUGGUAGACACGCUAUCUUGAGGGGGUAGUGCGCUAUGCGCGUGGGGGUUCAAGUCCCCCCUUCGGCACCA